rnacentral:lncRNA from 1 species
AGCAUUAUUGAUUGUAGUUAAUCACUUGCCAUAUUUGCUUAGACAACUUCUAGAAAAUAUGUUACAACUCCUCCUGAUACAGUUGUACCCAAUUUAUCCUUUAAUUUCAAACUUUUUUCUAAAUUCAUUAUGCGUUGAUCUCAUAAUAUAUGUUUGUUUCCAGAGGAAAGAUGAAGUUGUCAAUUGCAACGUUUUUGUGUUUCACUCUUAUUCUCGGAUUCUUCCUUCACACAAUAAUAGCCGAUGACAAUUCGAGUUUCUGCGACUCCAAGUGUGCCGUUCGAUGUUCGAAGGCGGGGCGUCAAGAUCGAUGCCUAAAGUACUGUGGAAUUUGUUGCAAGAAGUGUAAUUGUGUUCCAUCUGGUACCUAUGGGAACAAGGAUGAGUGCCCUUGUUAUAGGGACAUGAAGAACUCCAAGGGAGGACCAAAGUGCCCUUGAAAUUCUCCCUUGUUUAAUUCGUGGAAUUUUACAGGGAUUUGAGGACCCAGUUGCAUAAAUAUUGUAUCAAAAUCAGAAUAAUAAUGUGAUAUGAGGACCCAGUUGCAUAAAUAUUGUAUCAAAAUCAGAAUAAUAAUGUGAUAUUAAUGCAAUAAUCUAUCUAUGUCCUCUAUUUAUAAUGGAAAAUCCUCUACUAAUUAUUUAAUUACGGAAUUGCUUUUAAAUCUUAACUUCUGAUUGUGUAACAAUCGCAAUAGUGCUGGCCCUGACUAUAGGCAGGUAGGGUAGGUGAUCGCUUAAGACCCCACUUCGAUGAGGG